CCACCAUCGCCCUGUCCAACGCCACCAUCGUCCGGUCCACCGUCGCCGCCUCCAUCGUCCGGUCCACCGCCGCAGCCGCCGCCACACCAUCCUCCGGUCCACCGCCGCCGCUGCCUCCCCUUCCCGCGGAAGGCCGUUCUUCCGCCCGCAUCUGCCUCACCACCGGCGUAGCGCCGGUCUCCACCUCGCCACCCGCCGGAGCACCAGCACCCGCCUCCCCACCGAGCUCCCGUACUAGUCCCCCCAUUCAACUUUACGCGUCUUCACCUCUGGCUGUCCGUACUCCUCUCCUCGCUGCAUCACAAGCCCUCUGUCUUCAUAUCUCUGAAACAUCAGCAAACAGCUAGGGGAGUUGGCUGCCACCCUUUUCGACGCCGUAAUUUCCCAGCUUGAACAAGUAUAUUGAACUUGUUUGAGCUGCAUGUUGAUGACGAGGAAGAUGACAGUGCCCGAAUCCAAAUUGAGCAAGAGGCUAACCGGAUUAUUGACACAUAUGCAAGGAAAAAGGUGAAAGACAUGUUGUACCAACUUCGUGUGGAUGCUGUGAA